rnacentral:misc_RNA from 1 species
GAUGAAGAACGUAGCAAAAUGCGAUAAGUAAUGUGAAUUGCAGAAUUCAGUGAAUCAUCGAAUCUUUGAACGCACAUUGCGCCCGCUGGUAUUCCGGCGGGCAUGCCUGUUCGAGCGUCAUUUCAACCCUCAAGCCCCCGGGUUUGGUGUUGGGGAUCGGCUCUGCCCUCUGGGCGGUGCCGCCCCCGAAAUACAUUGGCGGUCUCGCUGCAGCCUCCAUUGCGUAGUAGCUAACACCUCGCAACUGGAACGCGGCGCGGCCAUGCCGUAAAACCCCAACUUCUGAAUGUUGACCUCGGAUCAGGUAGGAAUACCCGCUGAACUUAAGCAUAUUCAAUAAGCAGAGGA